rnacentral:rRNA from 2 species
GCGACCCCAGGAUGGGCGGGAUGACCCGCUGAG